rnacentral:tRNA from 1 species
AGUUAAUGAACUUGUUAAAGUAUAUAUUUUGAAAAUAUAACAAAGAGACAAAAACCCUCUAUUAACUU